CAUUUUGGCGUCAGGUCGUCCAAAGCCCGCCACACACUUCUGGGAACAUGAAUAUGCUAUUGCAACAGAAAGGCUGUGGACCACUGUAUUAGACCAAUAUUUAUUGAUGUUUUAACGUUUAUUUCUGGUGAAAAUGCAUGAGCCAGAAAGCAUGGUUUGACUUUCUGAUCCCAACUUGGCUCUCGCAGGGUUGCCAGUUAGAAAAGCCACCUUUUUCUUUGUACACUAAGCAAAUCUGAGAUAUCAGUGAGGGGGACAGUAUUCCACCAUGACUUUUACAGAAUAAGUAAUCCAACAAAUUUAAGUGAUAGAUCGCUUCGUUCACUAAAGGUAAAGUGGGGGGAAGGAGGAGAACAGAUAAACACUUAUUUUUAAAAAAAAAAAAAAAAACUCUAUUAUCCCACCCUCCCCAAAUUCACCGUUUUUUUAAUGUACUGGUUACAUAAACGUUUUUUUGUACUCCACAAGUGGCAGCUAGAAAUCUAGUCAAUCAGCAAGGUAAGAGCCUAAAAGGGGGUCACGCGCUCUUGGCAUGGGGUUCACACAGACACUCGUGCUACUCUGAGAUCCCUGGAGAAAGGGGGCUACAGAAGAGCAAAGUGCUUCACAGAUGCGUAGAAACUCAGCCGCGCAGCACACGCGAGGAAGUUGGAUGGCAGAAGCGAUGGACUGAAUCUAAGCAUAAAUCUGAUUAUGGUAAAUUUCAGCUCACAGCAGGAAGAUUCUGAGGAGGUGAAGAAAAGUAUAAAGGAAGCGGAAAAGAAAAUGAAAGAAGUACAGGAAGACUAGUGUAAGAAAAUAUAUAAAGAAGAGAUAAAGGAAGAAGAGAGAGAAAAAGAAGAGGCCGAAAAAGACACAGAUUUCAUCAUCAAACAUGAACUCUAAUGGAACAAAAAUAGUGACACCCUGGUUAUAGUCACCAGGCUGUCUUAAGUAUGAGAAGUACACCAUUCAAUAAUGCACUCUUUUAACUAAAUACGUGUGGUACAUUACAAUUUUGAAAUGAAUGAUCAUACUUUCUGACGUACAUAGAGAAAUAGUUUUAAUUUAGGUCUACUCUGAAAAUUCAAUCCAUACUACUCCCUAGCUACUAAAAAAAAAAAAAAAUUGAAUUGAUUUCUUGUUGUUUUAAACAGGUCAGUUACGCAUUUCCUUGAUUGAUAAAGCCACCAGGCACUUUUAACAUAGACAAUAUGCUUAGGAAAAAGGGAAAUAGAAGAAACUGUUGAUAAAAGCCUUUCAGCACAGUAUUUUGUAAGCGUGUUAGUUCUUGACCCUAAUUUUGGUUGAAUAAUUAUAUAGUACAAUGCUGACAUAUUUAAUUUAUAAUGAAGGCUGUUGUUGUUUCAGCAUCCGUAUCAUUGCUUUCUGUAUUUCUGUUUAUGUACAUGCUGGGUAGUGCAAGUGGUGGCUAAGCCUUUGACAGUUAUAUGUGUCGAAGGUCCUGUUGAAUAAAUGUUUUAGAGACUUCUCUGGUUUAAAAAGUAAUCUUAUGAUAAAAAAAUAAUGUUCAGUAUGAAAGACUGUACUGCUAUAUUCCCUCAGGCUGACUUCUGAGGAGUUAAUUUAUCUUUUAUAUAUGUUUGUACAAUAGUUGUGGGGUAUGAGAUGCAUCAAAUUAAUGAAAUUUCUGGAGAAAAUAUGUUUACAAUCUUCAAUGAAAGGUUAAAUCUUACUUUGAAGUGUUUUUGGAUGUUAUAGACUGUGUUUUAUUGCUGUUGCAUAUCCGGUUGUCAGUACUUCCGUAAAACACAUUUGUUUUGAAGAGAUUUAUUCCGUUUAUUUUUAAAUGUCACAUUCCCAGUUCCUGCCCAACAACACAAUUUGGCCAACCUCUUUUUUUUAUUUUUCAGGCUCUUGUUCAUUUUCAAAAGUGAAGUGUUAUGAGCAAUCCAUAAUGUACUCUUAUUGCUUUUGAUAUUUGGAUUGCCUAGUGAAGAAAUUAAACUUCUGAAAUGCUCAGCCAUAAUCUGGGGUGCAACUGAACUGCAGAAAGCAGAGGUCAGCAGUGUAUGUGCAGAGGUAGCUUAAAACUCAUCUUUGUGCUUCCCUAAUCCUGCUGUUGCUUUGUGCAGGUCUGGUCUCCAUAAACCAUGUUAAGGCAACUUCAGGGCUGCACUAACUUUGACAGGCGGAAAAUGGCCACAAGAGAAAAAAUACAGCAAGGACUGGUAUAGAGCAGGAGCAUUCUGGACAUAUCCCCUUUCCCUCUGGUCACUUUCUCUUUUUCUUACUUAGUCAGCAAUAGUGAAGAGAGUAGCAUAAGAGCCCCUACAUCAACUGUAUGACAUUGGAGAAUCAACUUUAUGCUGCGGUAAUCCUCCCUGAGCGAGUUUAACCACCUUUAGGGCUAGAUACUGCUGUAGUGAGAUGCAAAGCUGUUCCAUAGGACAGGAUCUUGUCCACAGGAUCUAAUUUUGAAAAGUGCUUACUCUCCAUGAACAGUGUGUACUUAGCAAUGUUAGUUAAUAAAUGAGCAAUGCUGUGACAGUUCUCAGGAUACCUAGGGCUGUGAGUCACCUAGUUAGACCCUUGUCUCCACUGUGAGGGAAUCUUGCUUGUGGUUAACUGGUGUCAGCUCCCUGACACCACCUCCCUAUUAGCCACCCAAGCACUCUCCUCUGGAGAAUGCAAGCCCUUCUUUUGCCUUGCAGAUUAACAAUAGUUGCACCCCACUCUUUGAAUCUUUUUGAAGUAUUACCCCUGUGAUGUUCAGCCAUUGAACACUCACAGAAAUACCAGGUCUGUUGUCCCCCAAGAAACAAUGUACACACCAGCUUGUAUGAUUCAACUUAAGAUCAGCACCUCACUUAAUAUCAUAGCAUUAAGAUUAGUUAUCAUGAAAACUAGAAUCAGUUUAUCAAAGAUUCAAGUGAUAGUGAUUAAGAAUAUUGGAAACAAAUGGUUACAUAUAAAACAAAAUCAUAACACACUUUCUAGAAACUAAACUUAACUAACAGGUUAACCUCCUCUCUAAAGAUGUUUAUCUCAUCCCCAAAGCCUUCUGCAGCAUUUCAACCAAGGUUGGCUGAGAUCCCAUUUUCACAAAUGUAAAUGCACUGUCCAAUUACUUCCUAGGUGCAGGAAGAUGGGAUGUCUUCUUUCAUUCAUAGAUAUACCCCCAAAGCUUGUCGUCUUUACACACAGCCAGAAUAACCACCUGUGAUUUGUUUUUCCUGCGUGCUCCUUCCUUGUUGACUUCACAGCUCUUAGUUAUCUUCUGACUUCAUAUGUAAAGGGCAUCCAGUGUGUUAGUUUACAAUGCUUAAUUUACAUUCUGACAGAGAGACAUUUCUUACCUCCUGUUUGGAGGAAAACCUGUUUUUCAUCCUUGCCUUGAUAUAGACAUUAAAACCAUAUUAUCAGUAUAUAAACAUAACUCCUCAUAUACUAAUAACCAGUUUCAGAAUAGCAGCCGUGUUAGUCGGUAUCUGCAAAAAAGAACAGGAGGACUUGUGGCACCUUAGAAACGAACAAAUUUAUUUGAGCAUAAGCUUUUGUGGGCUACAGCUUCAAGUUGAAAAGUAUGCCUUUCAUACCGCUUAUAGAGUGUCUACCUUAUGUACUAAGUAUGAUGUAUUGUGUUUUGUGACUAAAACUGUGCAACAACCCCAUUGUAGUAUUAUUGUGGGCAUGUUAUUGCUUGUAUUGUUAUUUGGUUUAGGGUCAUGUUACUGUUGUUGUAAAGGACGAAAUAAUAAUAAUACUUUCCAUGUCCACACUAACCCUGCAUUGUCAUUGUAUCCAGUUAAAACCCCUAAGGUUGAAGUAUUUGAUGCAGAGUUUGAAAUACAAAAUUUAAUGAAAAUGGAAGUUUAAAAUUGAUAGUUGCUCUGGAAGCACAAAAGGGGGGAGUGUGGAAGUAGAUAAAGGGAAUUUGGAUGCAGGCCUCUGAAUGAGCAGGAGUCAGGCUAACUCUAGCUUUAAUAACGCGAGAUUUGUAGAAGCGGGGAUAGUGCGAAGCGAGUGGAAAACAACUGUGAAAGAGGCUGUUGUGACCUCGUAUUAGAUAAGAAUAGAAUGCAGACUAUAAGAGAAAUGGUAAGAAAAAUAAGAUAUCAUGAAGGAAUAUGUAUAAAUAUGCAGUCGUUGCUUAUUAUUGUCUGUAAUAAAGGUAUAAAUACUUGCUCAAAUUGUUUAUCUGAGAGAGACCUGCCUAGGUGUGGGAAACCCUGUGUCCUAGUGCACUCCCUCCCUCUGUACAAUUGCUUGAGAUAAUAAACUGUAUCUGACUUGCU